UCAAGUCCAGUACAUCAUAAUGCAGA
rnacentral:piRNA from 1 species